AUUGAACGCUGGCGGCAGGCCUAACACAUGCAAGUCGAGCGGAGCGGCGGACGGGUGAGUAAUGCCUAUGAAUCUGCCAGGGAGUGGGGGAUGACGUCCGGAAACGGGCGAUAAUACCGCAUCCUAUCAGAUGAGCCUAGGGCGGAUUAGCUAGUUGGUGGGGUAAGGGCCUCCCAAGGCGACGAUCCGUAACUGGUCUGAGAGGAUGAUCAGUCACACGGGAACUGAGACACGGUCCAGACUCCUACGGGGGGCAGCAGUGGGGAAUAUUGGACAAUGGGCGAAAGCCUGAUCCAGCCAUGCCGCGUGUCUGAAGAAGGUCUUCGGAUUGUAAAGCACUUUAAGUUGGGAGGCGUUACCAACAGAAUAAGCACCUGCUAACUUCGUGCCAGCAGCCGCGGUAAUUC
rnacentral:rRNA from 1 species